rnacentral:rRNA from 1 species
GCUAACUACGUGCCAGCAGCCGCGGUAAUACGUAGGGCGCAAGCGUUGUCCGGAAUUAUUGGGCGUAAAGAGCUCGUAGGCGGUUUGUCGCGUCUGCUGUGAAAACGCAAGGCUUAACCUUGCGCCUGCAGUGGGUACGGGCAGACUAGAGUGCGGUAGGGGAGACUGGAAUUCCUGGUGUAGCGGUGGAAUGCGCAGAUAUCAGGAGGAACACCGAUGGCGAAGGCAGGUCUCUGGGCCGUUACUGACGCUGAGGAGCGAAAGCAUGGGGAGCGAACAGGAUUAGAUACCCUUGUAGUC